rnacentral:rRNA from 1 species
CCUACGGGAGGCAGCAGUGGGGGAUAUUGGACAAUGGGGGGAACCCUGAUCCAGCGACGCCGCGUGAGUGAAGAAGUAUUUCGGUAUGUAAAGCUCUGUCAGCAGGGAAGAAAGAAAUGACGGUACCUGACCAAGACGCCCCGGCUAACUACGUGCCAGCAGCCGCUGUAAUACGGAGGGGGCAAGCGUUAUCCGGAAUUACUGGGUGUAAAGGGAGCGUAGACGGUUAAGUAAGUCUGGAGUGAAAGGCCGGGGCCCAACCCCGGGACUGCUCUGGAAACUAUUGAACUUGAGUGCAGGAGAGGUAAGCGGAAUGCCUAGUGUAGCGGUGAAAUGCGUAGAUAUUAGGAGGAACACCAGUGGCGAAGGCGGCUUACUGGACUGUAACUGACGUUGAGGCUCGAAAGCGUGGGGAGCAAACAGGAUUAGAUACCCUAGUAGUC